rnacentral:rRNA from 1 species
CCUACGGGUGGCAGCAGUGAGGAAUAUUGGUCAAUGGACGAGAGUCUGAACCAGCCAAGUAGCGUGAAGGAUGACUGCCCUAUGGGUUGUAAACUUCUUUUAUAUGGGAAUAAAACAGGGUAUGCAUACCCUCUUGUAUGUACCAUAUGAAUAAGGAUCGGCUAACCCCGUGCCAGCAGCCGCGGUAAUACGGAGGAUCCGAGCGUUAUCCGGAUUUAUUGGGUUUAAAGGGAGCGUAGGUGGAUUGUUAAGUCAGUUGUGAAAGUUUGCGGCUCAACCGUAAAAUUGCAGUUGAAACUGGCAGUCUGGAGUACAGUAGAGGUGGGCGGAAUUCGUGGUGUAGCGGUGAAAGGCUUAGAUAUCGCGAAGAACUCCGAUUGCGAGGGCAGCUCACUGGACUGCAACUGACACUGAUGCUCGAAAGUGUGGGUAUCAAACAGGAUUAGAUACCCUAGUAGUC